rnacentral:rRNA from 1 species
CCUACGGGAGGCAGCAGUAGGGAAUAUUGCUCAAUGGGGGAAACCCUGAAGCAGCAACGCCGCGUGGAGGAUGAAGGUUUUCGGAUUGGAAACUCCCUUUGUUAGAGAAGAUAAUGACGGUAUCUAACGAAUAAGCACCGGCUAACUCCGUGCCAGCAGCCGCGGUAAUACGGAGGGUGCAAGCGUUACUCGGAAUCACUGGGCGUAAGGAGGGCGUAGGCGGGAUAGCAAGUCAGAUGUGAAAUCCUAUGGCUUAACCAUAGAACUGCAUUUGAAACUGUUAGUCUAGAGUAUGGGAGAGGUAGGUGGAAUUCUUGGUGUAGGGGUAAAAUCCGUAGAGAUCAAGCGGAAUACUCAUUGCGAAGGCGACCUGCUAGAACAUAACUGACGCUGAUGCGCGAAAGCGUGGGGAGCAAACAGGAUUAGAUACCCCAGUAGUC